GCCUCCUCGGGCUGCACGCAGGAGUCUGGGGCACUGACACAGAGGAGCGACUAGUGGAGCAUCUCCUUGACCCUUCUCGGUACAACAAGCUCAUUCGACCAGCCACAAAUGGCUCCGAGCUGGUGACGGUACAGCUCAUGGUGUCACUGGCCCAGCUCAUUAGCGUGCACGAGCGUGAACAGAUCAUGACCACCAAUGUCUGGCUCACCCAGGAAUGGGAGGAUUAUCGCCUCACCUGGAAACCUGAGGAGUUUGACAAUAUGAAGAAGGUGCGGCUCCCUUCCAGGCACAUCUGGCUCCCGGAUGUGGUCCUGUA